UACGUAGGUGGCAAGCGUUGUCCGGAUUUACUGGGCGUAAAGGGCGCGUAGGCGGUCGUGACAAGUCACUUGUGAAAUCUCCGGGCUUAACUCGGAACGGUCAAGUGAUACUGUCGGACUAGAGUACAGAAGGGGCAACUGGAAUUCUCGGUGUAGCGGUGAAAUGCGUAGAUAUCGAGAGGAACACCUGCGGCGAAGGCGGGUUGCUGGGCUGAUACUGACGCUGAGGCGCGAAAGCCCAGGGGAGCGAACGGG
rnacentral:rRNA from 1 species